rnacentral:rRNA from 1 species
AUGAACGCUGGCGGCGUGCCUCAUCCAUGCCAGUCGAGCGAACAGACGAGGAGCUUGCUCCUCUGACGUUAGCGGCGGACGGGUGAGUAACACGUGGAUAACCUACCUAUAAGACUGGGAUAACUUCGGGAAACCGGAGCUAAUACCGGAUAAUAUAUUGAACCGCAUGGUUCAAUAGUGAAAGACGGUUUUGCUGUCACUUAUAGAUGGAUCCGCGCCGCAUUAGCUAGUUGGUAAGGUAACGGCUUACCAAGGCGACGAUGCGUAGCCGACCUGAGAGGGUGAUCGGCCACACUGGAACUGAGACACGGUCCAGACUCCUACGGGAGGCAGCAGUAGGGAAUCUUCCGCAAUGGGCGAAAGCCUGACGGAGCAACGCCGCGUGAGUGAUGAAGGUCUUCGGAUCGUAAAACUCUGUUAUUAAGGAAGAACAAAUGUGUAAGUAACUAUGCACGUCUUGACGGUACCUAAUCAGAAAGCCACGGCUAACUACGUG